rnacentral:rRNA from 1 species
GUGGGGAAUUUUGCGCAAUGGGGGAAACCCUGACGCAGCAACGCCGCGUGAGUGAUGAAGGCCUUCGGGUCGUAAAGCUCUUUUAGUGGGGAAGAAUCCCACCCGGGCUAAUACCUCGGGUGUCUGACGGUACCCACAGAAAAAGUUCCGGCUAACUACGUGCCAGCAGCCGCGGUAAUACGUAGGGAGCAAGCGUUGUUCGGAAUUAUUGGGCGUAAAGAGCGCGUAGGCGGUUCGGUAAGUCUGACGUGAAAUCCCAGAGCUUAACUCUGGAACUGCGUUGGAUACUGCCGAGCUUGAGUGUGGGAGAGGAGAGUGGAAUUCCCAGUGUAGAGGUGAAAUUCGUAGAUAUUGGGAGGAACACCCGUGGCGAAGGCGGCUCUCUGGACCACAACUGACGCUGAGGCGCGAAAGCUAGGGUAGCAAACGGGAUUAGAUACCCCAGUAGUCC